UAAUUGAAGAGUUUGAUCAUGGCUCAGAUUGAACGCUGGCGGCAGGCCUAACACAUGCAAGUCGAGCGGUAGCACAGGGAGCUUGCUCCUGGGUGACGAGCGGCGGACGGG
rnacentral:rRNA from 1 species